rnacentral:rRNA from 1 species
UGGGGAAUAUUGGGCAAUGGGCGCAAGCCUGACCCAGCAACGCCGCGUGAGGGAAGAAGGCUUUCGGGCUGUAAACCUCCGUCCUUGGUGACGAAACAAAUGACGGUAGCCAAGGAGGAAGCCCCGGCUAACUACGUGCCAGCAGCCGCGGUAAUACGUAGGGGACGAGCGUUGUCCGGAAUUACUGGGCGUAAAGGGUGCGUAGGUGGCCUUUUAAGUUGGAUGUGAAAUACCCGGGCUUAACCUGGGGGGUGCAUCUAAUACUGGGAGGCUAGAGUGCAGGAGAGGAAAGCGGAAUUCCUAGUGUAGCGGUGAAAUGCGUAGAUAUUAGGAGGAACACCAGUGGCGAAGGCGGCUUUCUGGACUGUAACUGACACUGAGGCACGAAAGCGUGGGGAGCAAACAG